CCAGCUUCCAAUAAAAACAGGACAGCAGAACACACAUACCAAAAAUAUUUGGAGAAGCUGCUGAAAAAAAUUGUAUGUCUCUCAGUUGAUUAUAUUGGCUGCACUGGAAUAAUGUCUUGCUGGGAAAGCUUAACAGCUGUGUCAGAUGUCCUCUUGGAAGCUGUAGAAUCCCCGUUGGCUAUGCAGACAAAGAGGCUGGCCCCAGGACAAUUGUAGGACAGCAGGGCUGGGAUCUUUCCAUACCUUCUAGAUCAGUAUUUCUCUAUCUCAGUUUUCUCUAUCUCUAUCUCUAUCUAUGUCAAAUGGCACCAGCUCAAUUCCUUAUCUAAAGCAAGAGACAUGAGGAAAGGUGAGGAAGAAGAGGUAACUAGGAGAUUCCCCCAAAUAGCUCUCUUUAGAAGGAGAUGAAUGACAGAGGGGAAAGGGAUAGGGUGGCAGGGUCUUGCUGACAUACCAUUUUAGAGCUUGGGAGACCUGUUGUAGCACCAAUGCAUCGAUGGGAGUGGCUCAGUGACUGCCAGAUACCCACCUGCCACCAUUGGCAUCCUUGUCAUUAAGACAGAAAUUAGCUCAGUUCAACCUUGGUUCUGUGUGGGAAGCUGCUUACAUGGUUUCCCUACUCUGGGUCCCAGGAAAUCAAUCUUUCAUCAAGUACUGGUCAUCCUGUCUAAAGAUACCUAGAAAAGUCAUUCGAUUCAUGACAUUAAGAAGAUGCCAGGAGGGUUUGUGGAGAAUGACAGGCUACUCUCUGUGCUGAGCGUUUGCGUAGGCAGUGGUGAGCUGGGGUAGCUCACACCCCCUCAUGACAGCCAACUGGAAGCAUCUCUUCCCAACUGUGCAUCAGUGACAUCACUGUGGUUGCUUGAAAUUGGCCAUGGUGGAAAUUUAAAAAAUUUAUGUAUAUUUUUCCAGCUUCAUUGAGGUACAAUUAACAAUACGUGUGUGUGUGUAUAUAUAUACACACACACGUAGAUAAUAUAUACAUAUAUAAUUGACAUCGAUAUAUAAUUGACAUCUAUAUAUCUAAUUGACAUAUAUACAAAUAAAAAUUGUAUAUAUUUAAGGUGUAUAAUGUAAUGAUUUGAUAUAUGUAUACCUUGUAAAAUGAUUACCACAGUCAGGGUAGUUAACCCAUCCAUCACCAUAUAUUGUAACCAUUUUUCUUUGUAAUAGAAAUACAAUACUUAAGAUCUACUCUCUUAGUGAAUUUCAAGUAUACAAUACAUUAUUAUUGACUAUAGGAUAGUCACCCUGCUGUCAGGAAGGUGACUCCAGAACUUACUCAUCUUAUAAUUGCAAGUUUGUACACUUUGACCAACAUCUUCCCAGUUUCCCCAAGCCUCAGCCCUUGGUAACCACUGUUCUAUUGUCUGUUUCCAUGAGUUUGGCUUUUUGAAACUUUCCAUAUGUAAGUGAGAUCAUUCCCUAUGUGUCUUUUUGUGUCUGGCUUAUUUCACUUAGCAUAACGACC